rnacentral:lncRNA from 1 species
GUUUGUCGUAUGCAAUCAUCCAAUUCAAUAACGUUAGGAAAAUCUGAGGGUUAAUUUAAGCGGACCUAAUUAACUUGGGGCAUUGAGAAUUCAUGGUUUAUUGAAAAGCAAUUGGAAAUUGUUUUGUAUGCAAGUAUAACAUGUGUGGAGAUGAACCCCUUAGCUAGCCUUCCAUUCACAUCCAUUUAAACCAAAUUCGUUUUUACAAUCUGUUCUAAUUUACAAAGUUUGUUUUGUUUUUAAAUUCGUCCAAA